UACGAAGGGGGCUAGCGAUGCUCGGAAUGACUGGGCGUAAAGAGCGCGUAGGCGGCUUACCAAGUUGGGGGUGAAAUCCCGGAGCUCAACUCCGGAACUGCCUUCAAAACUGGUAGGCUCGAGUCCGGAAGAGGGGCGUGGAAUUCCCAGUGUAGAGGUGAAAUUCGUAGAUAUUGGGAAGAACAACGGUGGCGAAGGCGGCGCCCUGGUCCGGUACUGACGCUGAGGCGCGAAAGCGUGGGGAGCAAACGGG
rnacentral:rRNA from 1 species